rnacentral:tRNA from 1 species
UCCCUGGGGGCUCAGUGGUAAAGAAUCUGCCUGCCAAUGCAGAAGACUCAGGUUUGAUCCCUGGCCCAGGAA